rnacentral:lncRNA from 1 species
GAAAAAGUAGUAGUAACCACACCACGUAUUGCAUAGGGGUGUUGUGAGGGUUAAAUUAGGUAACGUGUGUGAUAUUUGUAGAUCAGCACCUAACACUUCGUAAGCCCUCAAUUAAACAUUAAUCAUUAUCUGAGUGUUGCUACAAUUUUGUAAUUUCAAGGUACUGUGGGUCUCAGAUCUGCCCACGAGAGGGCACUGGUGACACAGCUUUGCCUCAAAAGGUUUCCAGUUGAAAGACCAGGCAGCUUUGCUUGUGUCUAAGGAACUAAGGGUCCGAUUUCUCAUGAGCUGCUGAACCACAGAUUUUAGAGCUGAAAGACACCCUGCAAGUGAUCUAAUCCAGUCAUCAGAUGUUGCAGUUAUAAGCCAUAGGCGGGUAAAUGUGGACCUGGGAAAAUGCAGACCAACACCUUGCUGGAGUGCAAAGAGCCCCUAGCCAAUUCCUAGGCCUUUGAGAAAACCUGGAAAAAUUAACACUUGAAAUAAAUUUUGAAGAACAAGGAAAAGUUAUUGACCUAAAGGCUGACAGGGAGGAAUUCUGGAAGGAAGGAACAGCUCACUUGCUUGGAGCAAGAAGGAGAACAGACAUAAAACAUAACUGGAAGCUGUGAUGCUCCAAAAAUAUCACAGGAUCGGAUGACACGAAAACCUUCACCAAACUUGGGACCAUGACACCAUUCACACCUGGAUGUGCUGAAAUGGAGGAAACAGCAAGUCAAUAUUUAAUAAAUUUUUACUAAAGACUCUGUGCUAUGCAAGACUCCAAAUAGUAUAAAAUACUGCCCUUACCUUCAUUGAGCUUACCAGCUAGGUGAGUGCUACCCAUUAAGUGAAAGACUAAACGCUAAAAAAGCUGAACAAUAAAGUAGGUAUAUGUAUAAUACAAUCCUAGCUUUUUAAAACAGAAAGGUAUAUAUGCAUAACAAGAAAAAACUCUAAUGAUAGAUCCCAAAUUGAAAAUAGUUAUUAUUCUUGGGAAAUGUGAUCACAGGGGUUUUAUGUUUCUUUAUAAUGUGUUUCUUUAUUUUCUAAUUUUUUAUAAUAAACAUGUUAUUUUUUAUGAUACAAAAUAAAUAUAUCAUUUAAAAAAAUAAAGGUACUAUCAUAACCUAGUAUGGAAUUAGAGUCCAUAAUGUAUUUUUAAAUGGUUAGAAAUCAGUUAAAAAAUAUUAAUCCAUUAGUACAUUAACAUUAGUACAGGAAUAGACUAUUCACAGAAGAAGAAAAAAUGAAUGUCAAGAGAACACAGGUAAAGCUUUUCAAUCUCCCUAGUAAUCGGGGAAUACAAAACAAAAUAGCAAAGAAAUACCAUUUCACAAUCAUCAGAUUAUAAGAAUAUGUUUAAGUAUUUAAACAAACUAUAAAACCACUGGAAGAAAACACAGUGGAAAUGUUUCAGGACAUUGACCUAGGCAAAGAUUUUAUGGCUAAGACUUGAAAAGCAUAAGCAACAAAAAUAAAAAUAGACAAAUGGGACUAAUCUCGAAUUAAAAACCUACUGCACUGCAGAGGAAAAAUCAACAGAAUCAACAGCCUACAGAAUGGGAGUAAAUAUUUGCAAAGUAUUCAUCUGACAAGGCACUAAUGAAUAUAUGAUGAACUUAAUUCAACAGCAAAAAAAAAAAAUCUGAUUUUAAAAUGAUCAAAGAAUAGAUAUUCU